UUUUUCUUUUCAAUUUGGCGCAAGAAUAUCGACAAUUUCAUUUUUGUUUGUUCUACAAUUUCUACAAUAACAAUACCAAAACACAGUUAACACAUAACUGUAUAUAUAUUAUGCCUAGUAUAUAUUCCAGUUACGCAGGUGGUACCAAUUCUCAGUUUGGUUGCAGUUCGCACUUGUGUUAUAUAGCCAUUAAUUAUUGAUUGAUUUAAUUGAACCUUGUUUGAUUCGGAGUUCCGCCCAAGAAGUUGCAUCGCUUGCGUUUACAAUGCCGUUGAAAUGAAUAAAACGAAAAUAAUAAAAUUUUACUUCAGCAGCAAAA